rnacentral:tRNA from 1 species
GCAAAUAUAGUUUAACAAAAACAUUUAGAUUGUGAAUCUAAAUAUAGGAGUUUAAACCUCCUUAUAUGCU